CCUACGGGAGGCUGCAGUGGGGAAUAUUGGACAAUGGGCGAAAGCCUGAUCCAGCCAUGCCGCGUGUGUGAAGAAGGCCUUCGGGUUGUAAAGCACUUUCAGUGGGGAAGAAAGCCUUGGGGCUAAUACCCUCGAGGAAGGACAUCACCCACAGAAGAAGCACCGGCUAACUCCGUGCCAGCAGCCGCGGUAAUACGGAGGGUGCGAGCGUUAAUCGGAAUUACUGGGCGUAAAGCGCGCGUAGGCGGUCUGAUAAGCCGGUUGUGAAAGCCCCGGGCUCAACCUGGGAACGGCAUCCGGAACUGUCAGGCUAGAGUGCAGGAGAGGAAGGUAGAAUUCCCGGUGUAGCGGUGAAAUGCGUAGAGAGCGGGAGGAAUACCAGUGGCGAAGGCGGCCUUCUGGACUGACACUGACGCUGAGGUGCGAAAGCGUGGGUAGCAAACAGGAUUAGAUACCCGUGUAGUC
rnacentral:rRNA from 1 species